UACGAAGGGGGCUAGCGUUGCUCGGAAUCACUGGGCGUAAAGGGCGCGUAGGCGGCCAUUCAAGUCGGAGGUGAAAGCCCAGGGCUCAACCCUGGAAUUGCCUUCGAUACUGUUUGGCUAGAGACCGGAAGAGGUAAGUGGAACUGCGAGUGUAGAGGUGAAAUUCGUAGAUAUUCGCAAGAACACCAGUGGCGAAGGCGGCUUACUGGUCCGGUUCUGACGCUGAGGCGCGAAGGCCAGGGGAGCAAACGGGG
rnacentral:rRNA from 1 species